rnacentral:rRNA from 1 species
AUGGUGGGAUCCUCCGUCGUGUACACGUCCUGCAGGCCUUCGUCGUGUACACGUCCUGCAUCCUUCCUCCACCACCCAGCCGACCAGGCCCAUCUCGGUGACCAGCCCGGGCUGCUCCCCGACGGCAGUGGUGACGGCAACUCCUCUCAUCUGAAAGGGUGCGGGGAGAGGUGUGUGGGCGCCGAGAUGUUUGCGACGGUUGCGCGGUGGGCGGAGAAGAAAGGGAAGCCCAAGAUGGCGCCGAUCGAGCUCACGACAACGGCGGAGCAGGCGCAGUCCAUCACCCGCACCAUCUUCGAUGUCGUCAAGGAGCACGGGCCCCUCACCAUCUCCGACGUUUGGGAGCACGUCACGGAUGUAGGCCCGAGGGGUUUGACAAGCAAGAGGCAGAUGAAGAUCAUGCUGCGGUGGAUGAGGGAGAAGCAGAAGCUCAGGCUCAUUUCUGACCAUGAUGGGCCUCACAAGCAAUUCCUCUACACGACAUGGUUCACCAACCCCAAGAAUGCGCCACAGAGGCCCAAGAGGGAGCUCAACAGGGAGAGCCUAGUGGCGGCGUGGACGAGACGGAGGAAGCGGUGUAUGAGGUGGUGCUGCGGCAGGCCGCGAAUGGUGGAGCACGUGUAG